AAAGACUGAAGUACCUUGCUAGUUUACAAGAAAUGAUUGAUCAUUGAAGGAAAUGGGUGUGUCACGUAGACAGGCUGACCAGUCUGGUCCUUUCAUUCCACGUGACAUUCUGCACAUCAUUUAACAGAAAACAGUUGUUGAGAUGCAGUAUAAAACGCCCAGCUUUAGGAAGGUACUCACUCUGUUAUUGAAAUAUUUUACAAUGAAGAUGAGAACAAGUCACAACAAGACCAGACCUCAGCUGUGACCCUGGAACGCCACCUUCUUGUCUAGAGUGGUUCAGCUGAAAGAGAUGGGGCAAUGCUGGUCGUGGUGCUGCCGAAAGGUUGUCACAAAAGCAGAGAGGAAUGGAGAGAAAAGUCAGAGUUUGUCUACAAUCAACACAAAGGAAGAAGAGCUUGAAG